GGCUUAGAGUUUGAUCAUGGCUCAGGAUAAGCGCUGGCGGCGCACAUAAGACAUGCAAGCCGAACGGACUUAACUCGAAGUUUACUUUGAGAGCGGUUAGUGGCGGACUGGUGAGUAACACGUAAGCAACCUGCCUAUCAGAGGGGAAUAACAGUGAGAAAUCAUUGCUAAUACCGCAUAUGCUUACACUAUCGCAUGAUAGAGUAAGGAAAGGAGCAAUCUGCUGAUAGAUGGGCUUGCGUCUGAUUAGCUAGUUGGUGAGGUAACGGCUUACCAAGGCGACGAUCAGUAGCCGGACUGAGAGGUUGAACGGCCACAUUGGGACUGAGAUACGGCCCAGACUCCUACGGGAGGCAGCAGUCGGGAAUAUUGCGCAAUGGAGGAAACUCUGACGCAGUGACGCCGCGUAUAGGAAGAAGGUUUUCGGAUUGUAAACUAUUGUCGUUAGGGAAGAUACAAGACAGUACCUAAGGAGGAAGCACCGGCUAACUAUGUGCCAGCAGCCGCGGUAAUACAUAGGGUGCGAGCGUUAUCCGGAAUUAUUGGGUGUAAAGGGUGCGUAGAUGGGAAGACAAGUUAGUUGUGAAAUCCCUCGGCUCAACUGAGGAACUGCAACUAAAACUAUCUUUCUUGAGUGUCGGAGAGGAAAGUGGAAUUCCUAGUGUAGCGGUGAAAUGCGUAGAUAUUAGGAGGAACACCAGUGGCGAAGGCGACCUUCUGGACGAUAACUGACGUUGAGGCACGAAAGUGUGGGGAGCAAACAGGAUUAGAUACCCUGGUAGUCCACACCGUAAACGAUGGAUACUAGGUGUAGGGUGUAUUAAGCAUUCUGUGCCGCCGCUAACGCAUUUAGUAUCCCACCUGGGGAGUACGAC
rnacentral:rRNA from 1 species